UACAGAGGUCCCAAGCGUUGUUCGGAUUCACUGGGCGUAAAGGGUGCGUAGGCGGUCGGGUAAGUCUGAUGUGAAAUCUCACAGCUUAACUGUGAAACUGCAUUGGAUACUAUCCGGCUCGAGGAAUGGAGGGGAGACUGGAAUACUUGGUGUAGCAGUGAAAUGCGUAGAUAUCAAGUGGAACACCAGUGGCGAAGGCGAGUCUCUGGACAUUUCCUGACGCUGAGGCACGAAAGCUAGGGUAGCGAACGGG
rnacentral:rRNA from 1 species